rnacentral:rRNA from 1 species
GACGAACGCUGGCGGCGUGCUUAACACAUGCAAGUCGAACGGUAAACCUCUUCGGAGGGGAUCAGUGGCGAACGGAUGAGUAACACGUGGGCAACCUGCCCCCGGCUCUGGGAUAACUCCAAGAAAUUGGGGCUAAUACCGGACGUUUACCGCUUACCGCCUGGGUGGUGGUGGAAAGGGUUUUCGGCUGGGGAUUGGGCCGCGGCCCAUCCGCUUGUUGGUGGGGUAGUGGCCUACCAAGGCGACGACGGGUAGCCGGCCUGGGAGGGUGACCGGCCACACUGGGCCUGCGGCAGGGCCCAGACUCCAACGGGGGGCAGCGGUGGGGAAUAUGGCGCAAUGGGCGGAAGCCGGACGCAGCGACGCCCGGUGGGGGAUGACGGCCUUCGGGUUGAAAACCUCUUCCAGCAGGGACGAAGCGGUUGUGACGGUACCUGCAGAAGAAGCACCGGCUAACUACGUG